rnacentral:rRNA from 1 species
GACGAACGCUGGCGGCGUGCCUAAUACAUGCAAGUAGAACGCUGAAGAGAGGAGCUUGCUCUUCUUGGAUGAGUUGCGAACGGGUGAGUAACGCGUAGGUAACCUGCCUUGUAGCGGGGGAUAACUAUUGGAAACGAUAGCUAAUACCGCAUAACAAUGGAUGACACAUGUCAUUUAUUUGAAAGGGGCAAUUGCUCCACUACAAGAUGGACCUGCGUUGUAUUAGCUAGUAGGUGAGGUAAUGGCUCACCUAGGCGACGAUACAUAGCCGACCUGAGAGGGUGAUCGGCCACACUGGGACUGAGACACGGCCCAGACUCCUACGGGAGGCAGCAGUAGGGAAUCCUCGGCAAUGGGGGCAACCCUGACCGAGCAACGCCGCGUGAGUGAAGAAGGUUUUCGGAUCGUAAAGCUCUGUUGUAAGUCAAGAACGGGUGUGAGAGUGGAAAGUUCACACUGUGACGGUAGCUUACCAGAAAGAGACGGCUAACUACGUG